UCCAGACUCCUACGGGAGGCAGCAGUGGGGAAUAUUGCACAAUGGGGGAAACCCUGAUGCAGCGACGCCGCGUGAAGGACGAAGUAUUUCGGUACGUAAACUUCUAUCAGCAGGGAAGAAAAUGACGGUACCUGACCAAGAAGCCCCGGCUAACUACGUGCCAGCAGCCGCGGUAAUACGUAGGGGGCAAGCGUUAUCCGGAUUUACUGGGUGUAAAGGGAGCGUAGACGGCCAUGCAAGUCUGAUGUGAAAACCCGGGGCUCAACCCCGGGACUGCAUUGGAAACUGUGCAGCUCGAGUGCAGGAGAGGUAAGCGGAAUUCCUAGUGUAGCGGUGAAAUGCGUAGAUAUUAGGAGGAACACCAGUGGCGAAGGCGGCUUACUGGACUGUAACUGACGUUGAGGCUCGAAAGCGUGGGGAGCAAACAGGAUUAGAUACCCUAGUA
rnacentral:rRNA from 1 species